GAUGAACGCUGGCGGCGUGCCUAAUACAUGCAAGUCGAGCGAACAGACGAGGAGCUUGCUCCUCUGACGUUAGCGGCGGACGGGUGAGUAACACGUGGAUAACCUACCUAUAAGACUGGGAUAACUUCGGGAAACCGGAGCUAAUACCGGAUAAUAUAUUGAACCGCAUGGUUCAAUAGUGAAAGACGGUUUUGCUGUCACUUAUAGAUGGAUCCGCGCCGCAUUAGCUAGUUGGUAAGGUAACGGCUUACCAAGGCGACGAUGCGUAGCCGACCUGAGAGGGUGAUCGGCCACACGGGAACUGAGACACGGUCCAGACUCCUAAGGGAGGCAGCAGUAGGGAAUCUUACGCAAUGGGCGAAAGCCUGACGGAGCAACGCCGCGUGAGUGAUGAAGGUCUUCGGAUCGUAAAACUCUGUUAUUAGGGAAGAACAAAUGUGUAAGUAACUAUGCACGUCUUGACGGUACCUAAUCAGAAAGCCACGGCUAACUACGUG
rnacentral:rRNA from 1 species